UAAUCCCCCACCGCACCGUUGCACAGACAGUUACCGUCGCCCCAGCCCACAGCAUCCAUUUUCCUCGAGCGAACCCAUCUCAGUCCGGAGUGGUAUGUGUCUCGAGGUUGUGCCGAAGGAAUCAUGUUAGACAAACGUGGUGAAGUUUCUGAAGGUAUGCGACAAGUAUGUUAUGAGAAGCGCGAUUUGAACCUUUUGAGUAGUGGAUAUUGUUUCACACGCUAGCUAGACAAUGCUUAGUUAGGACCACUGGAGCCAAGUCUAUCGCUGUUAGUUAACAUUGAUCUGUGGGCGAAGCUGGUAGGACAGGGAACAUUGUCGCAGUGUAGAGUAAGGGGUACCGGGCUUUAGGUGGCAAGAGUUUAACUUAAGCCUGCUGUCUCCUGUAGAGC